GAUGAACGCUGGCGGCGUGCCUAAUACAUGCAAGUCGAGCGAACGGACGCGACUUUCGCUUCACUGAUGUUAGCGGCGGACGGGUGAGUAACACGUGGUUUACCCACCUCUACGACUUGGAUAUCUUCGGGUAACUGUAGCUAAUACCGGAUAAUAUUUUUAACCUCAUGGUUCAAAAGUUUAAUACGUUCUUGCUGUCACUGAUAGCUGUAUCCUCGCUGCUUUAGCGAGUUGGUAAGGUAACGGCUUACCAAGGCAACGAUGCAUAGCCGACCUGAGAGGGUGAACGGCGACACUGGGAGUGAGACGCGGUACAGACUCCUACGGGAGGCAGCAGUAGGGAAGCGUCCGAAAUGGGCGAAAGACUGAAGGAGCAACGCAGCGUGAGUGAUGAAGGGCUGCGGAGCGGAAGACGCUGUUAGGGGGGAAGAACAUAUGUGUAAGUAACGGAGCACAUCUUGACGGUACCUAAACAGAAAGCCACGGCUAACUACGUG
rnacentral:rRNA from 1 species